rnacentral:rRNA from 2 species
GACUGAGGGGGGCUGCUCCUAGUACGAGAGGACCGGAGUGGACGCAUCACUGGUGUUCGGGUUGUCAUGCCAAUGGCACUGCCCGGUAGCUAAAUGCGGAAGAGAUAAGUGCUGAAAGCAUCUAAGCACGAAACUUGCCCCGAGAUGAGUCUUCCCUGAGACUUAGAGUCUCCUGAAGGAACGUUGAAGACGACGACGUUGAUAGGCCGGGUGUGUAAGCGCAGCGAUGCGUUGAGCUAACCGGUACUAAUGAACCGUGAGGCUUAACCUUACAACGCCGAAG